GGGCCUGACAAGGUUUCGACUGGUCGAUGGACAACUGAACAGCGGGCGAGUGUUGGCCGCACUUCUACUCUGAGUGAACGCGGCAACUGAUAAACGCAACCGACACGGAUGCAACGGUGACCGACGCCGAGAUCGAGGCCUUCUUUGCUGAAGAGGCUGCCGCUCUCGUCUGAAGGAACCAGCCUGGCUCAGCGUGCUGCUGUGCAGCGGCCAGGCUUCAUCUCUAACAGCAGCGAACGGACAUGAGGGAGCGCAAACCCUCGUCCCAAACAUCAUGAAUGCGUCGCACGGGCUCCAGCGUCAGGGGCCAGAGGUGGGAAACGGUGUGAAACUCCUGUCCUGGGGAUCACCGACCGAUACGCCAAACCAGGACUACGCCCGUAGAACGCAGUGAGAAAGACACCAGGACAGGGGUUCGAGUCCCCUCAGGUCCACGU
rnacentral:tmRNA from 20 species